CGGCGAGUGAAGCGGCUACAGCUCAAAUUUGAAAUCUGGCUCUCCCCCGGGGAGUCCGAGUUGUAAUUUGCAGAGGAUGCUUUGGCGUUGGCGGCGUCCCAAGUUCCCUGGAACCGGACAUCGCAGAGGGUGAGAAUCCCGUACGCGGUCGCCCGCCUCCGCCGUGUAAAGCUCCUUCGACGAGUCGAGUUGUUUGGGAAUGCAGCUCUAAGCGGGAGGUAAAUUUCUCCUAAAGCUAAAUACCGGCCAGAGCCCGAUAGCGCACAAGUAGAGUGAUCGAAAGAUGAAAAGCACUUUGGAAAGAGAGUCAAACAGCACGUGAAAUUGUUGAAAGGGAAGCGCUUGCCGCCAGACGUGCCCGCAGCCGCUCACCCAGGCCCCGCGCCUGGGGCACUCGGCCGCGGGCAGGCCAGCAUCGGUUCGGGCGGUCGGAUAAAGGCCUCUGUCACGUACCACCUCUCGGGGUGGCCUUAUAGGGGAGGCGACAUGCGACCAGCCCGGACCGAGGUCCGCGCGUACUGCUAGGAUGCUGGCGUAAUGGCUGCAAGCGGCCCGUCUUGAAACACGGAUCAAGGAGUCUAACAUCUACGCGAGUGUUUGGGUGUCAAGCCCGGGCGCGCAAUGAAAGUGAACGGAGGUGGGAACCCCUCGGGGUGCACCAUCGACCGAUCCUGAACUCUUCGGAUGGAUUUGAGUAGGAGCGUAGCUGUUGGGACCCGAAAGUAAGGUGAACUAUGCUUGAAUAGGGUGAAGCCAGAGGAAAACUCUGGUGAGGCUCGCAGCGGUUCUGACGUGCAAAUCGAUCGUC
rnacentral:rRNA from 1 species